UGUUCUUUCUCCUAAGCUUUCGAAAGAAGGCGUUUGUUGGGGCUCUGUAUCCGUCUUCAGUGAGGUGGUAAAUUUUAUAGUGCUGGGGUCGCUCACACAGUUAUCUCAGGCAUGGGUCCCUUGUGGUGCAAAAGGUAGGUCCGGGUUCGCGGCCCCACAGCACUAAUCGGGGUUUUAAAGUCCCGUUCAUUUUCUCAGAGCCUGGCCCCGUCCUCGCCGUAGCUUCGCCUCCGUGAGUGGCGGGGUCAUUCCCAGGAGGCGGGGACCUCCCGGUUUUGGAAGCGGGCUACUUGGGCGACCCAGAGGGUCCCGGCGCGGUGACCCUUUUCUGAGACUUGACCUUUUUUUUUCCGUUUGCGUUAAGGUAGGGUUUCUCAGCCUAGGCACUACUGACAUUUUGGGCCAGAUAAUUCUGUUUUUUGGGGGGAGCAGUCCUGUGCGCUGUAGGGUGUUUAUCUGCAUCCCCUUCUUUCCCCCAGUUGUGACGACCAAAAAUGUCUCCAGAUACCAGACAUCCCCUCCCAGGGAAAAUCGUCGGGGGAUAGGAUUAGGUUUAGGAGAUACUCUGGGUUUUGGGGAAGUGAUCCUUUUCAGAGCCGGCAGCAACGAUGUCUUAGCUACGUGAACGAACUUGUGGCCGGGCUCGCCCGCUCUUCCAGACGCUCUCGUUCCUGUUCCAGCGUCUCGCUGGAGUCGGUCGUGGUCCAGGAGUCAGAUCCUGCCCGGGAGAAGGAGCAGGUCACGGUCUCGGUCCGGAAGGCGCCACCAGAGAAAGUACGGGCGCCACUCACAGUCUUCCUCGCGGAGCGGGUCGCGAUCCCGCAGGAAGUGCCGCUCUCGGGGAAGGUCGUAUUACAGAAGGGCCUUCUCGAACACGCGGGGUGACAGUACUAGGGCUUUAACCCUGUGGUGUACCCGAAAGAACACAGCACUUGGAGGGAGAGAUCCGGGAAGAGGUCGCAGAGCAGAACCCCGUUUCCUGUAAAAUUGACCUAUUAGAAAUAGCAAAAGCAAGCGCAGCUAAAUCAUUAGGAACAGCCAACCUUGACUUCCCGGCUAGUCUCAGAACUGUUCCUUGUAGCUAAAGAAAGAAACUGUGGAACAGCUGUACCAAGUACUGCAAAGUUCAAGAAAUGGAAGGAGAGAGACUCCUUAGACAGCUGCCAACAAGAUGGCUGUCAUUGUUGCCAGCCAUAGGAAAGAUGUUAAAAUGUUGGCCUACUAUAGAAUCCUGUUUUCAAAGUGUGGGAAAAGAAGACUGUCCUUCUCUAAUUUGGAAAUACGUUGAAGAUGAGAAUGGAGAAAAGGAUUACAGUACAACAGAAAUUUAUAUGCUUUUUCUUCAGAACUGCUUGGUGAUCUUUGAAGAGGCCAUAAGGAGCCUAGAAAAGGAUAAACUGCACCUGCGUUAUUUGAUACUAUGUGUAAGUUGUGACAAAAACUCACACAGCGAAAGAAUGACUCACUUUUUGGAAAGAAAACUGCUUUAGAACUGAAAAAAACGUCACCAAAAAAGGGCAACCAAAUUAAACAGGAUUUUUUCAACUUCUUUACUAGAACAAUAACUCAUUUGGAAUCCAAUUUCGAUUUCACAAGUUCAAAUUACCUCUGUGCUUUAAAACCAUUUUCCCUGAGAAAGCGAGGUUUAACUUACAAGGACAUUCAGUGUGCUUCAGAAUGUUUAAAGAUGAUGGACAUUUUAGACACGGAUAACCUCUAUGAUGAAUUUAUAGAUGCAAAGGACCUGAUUGACAAACAACUGGUCUACCAAAAUAAGCUUGUAGAUGAAAAAUGGAUGGACAUUUUUGGAGAGCUAGAAAUUAAUUCCUGCAAGUCCCCAAACCUGCUGUUGCUAUUUCUUGUGUCAUAAGUGGGAUCUGAAGACUAUCCCCUGACAAGCCCUGAGGCCGAAUCCCAUCCAGGACAGCACAUUACAUUUAUGUCUCCUGGGGCUCCUCUUAACUGUGACAGUUUCUCAGACUUUCCUUGUUUCUGAUGCACAGAUUUGAGGAGUACUGGUCAGGAAUAUUGUAGGUGUUGGUUAUUUUUUGUAUGUAACAUUUCAUGAUUAAAAAUUACUAAUCAGGGCGACUUCCCUCGUGGUCCAGUGGUUAAGAAUCCAUCUGCCAAUGCAGGGGACACAGGUUCCAUCCCUGGUCUGGGAAGAUCCCAUAUGCCAUGGGGCAGCUAAGCCCGUGCACCACAACUACCAAGCCCGAGCUCUAGAACCUGCGCACCGCAACUACUGAGCCCGCGUGCUGCAACUACUGAAGCCUGCACACCUACAGCCCGUGCUCCACAACAAGAGAAGCCACUGCAGUGAGAAGCCCGUGCACCAUAACGAAGAGUAGCCCCUCUCACCGCAUCUAGAGAAAAGACUGCGUGCAGCAACGAAGACCCAGCGCAGCCAAAAAAAAAAAAGAACCUAAGAGUGGUGAUCAUUAAAAAAAAAAAAGAAAAAUUGCUAAUCAGGGUCUUCCCUCGCGGUCCAGUGGUUAAGAAUUCGUGCUUCCACUGCAGGGUGCAGUUUCGAUUCCUGGUUGGGGAACUAAGAUCCUGCAAGCCGCGCGGCGUGGCCAAUAAAUAAAAUAAAAUAAAAUAAAAUAUUUCCUUCCUUUC